AAAAAUUUCGACUAAAACUUCUAAUUUGCAGCUAAUACAAAAUGGAUUGAUUUCGUUUUGCUGCAAAUUAGAAGUCUUAGUGACAAAAAUCAUUUACAUUACUGGUAAGUGGCGAGGAGAAAAAGUCAACUCGCUCACUAGGAUGCCCAGACUGUUCCCUAACUCAAACUUUAAUUGUAGCCAUUGUGUGUCAUAAUUUUAAAUUUUGGCGGAAAAUAGUCAAGUAAAAUCAUAAAGAAUGGGGCAUUCUGAGAAUUCCGGUGAUAGGCGUGGCUCUGGUGAUCGUGAUUUUUGCCUGGGUGUUUGUGGUGGUAGCACGUGGCGGCUUAUUUCCAUAAGGUGACGUAUUAUCACCAUCUUGUAAAGUUACAUAUAAAUCACCGGUCGGUGAUAAUCCGGUGAUAAAAUUUCUUAGAGUGUUUUUAAAGGAUAGUUUUAUUGUGAGAAAAUUAAUUUAAUUUUGAAUUCUGGCGGGGAUAUAACCAGGCAUCUAUUAUAAUCUACAUAAUUGAUAACCUUGACAACCCCUAUUAUUAAUUAUUUAAUUAAAUAACGUUCCGUUUUUGUGAGAAAAAGAUGAUAAGCAUAUAUCACUAGAUAAGUGUUAUAUUUUAUGAGAAGCGUUCCUUAACUGAGUGGACGGAGCGCGCCUUUUAAUUCCUUCUCUAUUAGUUAGUUAGUUAGUUCAAAUGGUAAUGGCGGUACGGCGGGAUUUUUAAAAAACAAAAGUUGUGACGAUGACCACUACACGGCGUCUCUCUCUCAAUUAAAUUCAAACAUUUCCCGCGCUGUCUACCGCCACAGAAGAAGAAGACUCGAGUACAACGAAUAUUUUCAUGUCAUACAAGUAUUUUUCCGUUCAUGUUAGUUAAAUAUUUAAAUGAGGGGCGGGAGAAAAAUGCUAGGUUUACGCGUAAUUUAUGUAAAUCUCUGUGUGUCUCUCUCUCUUUUUAAGCAGGGAGAAAUUAUACGACCAAGCUUUACAUUUUAUAAGGCGUUAUAAACAUAUAUCAUAAAAAAGAAAGUGACGAAAAUGUGUUACGUAA